UUUUUGUGGUAGUAUAUAAAUGUCGUUUUGCGACUAUGGUGAUAAACGGUUUGCGAAAUAGGCUUUGUGGACCAGGGGGCAGUACCCUGCGCCUCCGCCAUUUGUAUGGGGGCGAAAUAGGUUCGACAUGGAGCGAUAAAGGCUUAUUUUUCACUCGGCAUUGUACCGUCGUUAUCGGGCUAAUUUUAAUAAAUGCCAAUAGAAAUGAAAAGGCAAAAGUCGCAGCCAAUCUUAACGAGCAAGCUGCUGAAAGGAAAGUUGCUUAAUCUGCCCGUGAUGGGAUUUUGAGUAAAUUCUGGACAUACUGUUUCUAACGAAGCGGUAGACUAAAAGCGGAUAGGGGGAUCCGAGCAACAGAAUUCCCCC
rnacentral:tmRNA from 1 species